rnacentral:lncRNA from 1 species
UCAGAUUUCAGAUUACAGAAUACGUCUUCAGAAAAUUGUGAGCAGUUUAUUAGAUUCUCUUUACCUUUCAUGCCACUGACAGAGAAAGAGGAACACUCUUCCAAUGCUGGUGGGAGACAGUAGUGACCAGCAGUUGUGCCGAGAAGGUAAGUUGAAAAGGAACAACUGUGUGUGUAAGUGCACGCAUGCACACGCGCAUCUUUUAUCGUGGAUUCAAGGGAAGCUGGGUGGGGGCUGUAGUGCAGCCCAUUCCCUGAGAUAAGGCCAGGGAUCAAAAAGCUACACACGACAUCCAUUAGUGUUUCUUUUAUGAAUUCGAAUGCAUGUAUGCAUUGCUUUUUCCAUUGUUGUAUCAUUUUUUUUUAAAAAGGAAGAUCUUAUUGUUUCUACUGGUCGGGUCUGAGGGUAUAAAGUCAUUCAAGGGGGUCAUGUUGGUGGGAAUGUGAGGUCACAUUGCAUCCAUAAUCAGGAAGCAGUGAGAGAUCGCAGGAUACAGCACACUUCCCCCUUUUACAUUUUACUCAGUUAUAGACUCCAGUGAAGCCAAAGAACAGGGUCAAGGAUGGGAAGGACUCAGGCAAAUCCUUACAAAAAAGUGGUAUAUGGGGGAAAAGUCAGCAAAGCAGAAAGCUUUGCUCCCCCCCACUUAUUGUCCUAGAGAUUGACUACAGCCAUUAGAAGAAGCCAGGGAUACUCCAGAGUGUGUGCAGGUGACCCUUGGAUCAUCACAACACUAAAGCGCACAUUACUGAACGGAUUUAGGAGACAUGGGAUACAUGAAGUACAGUGAACAUAUUAAAGUCAUGCAGGAAAAGCAGGCCCAAGAACUCUGUCAGCCACACCAGACCAAGGCAGUGCAUGCCUUCAUCUGAGUCCUAUAACGAGGUAACACCUAGCAUUAAGAUAAAGAUAGCAUUCACUGACCACUCAGGAUAUGCAUUGAGAGACCGUCAGGCAUAUGCUUCACAACUGUCUCGGGGCCUUAAGCUCAGCUCAGUCUCUCGUGUUGAGAUGGUGUACUCAAACUGCCAUCUGCUCAUCUACCCCUUACCUGUCUAGGUCUGUGUCCUGGCUGGCUUUACACCAACUCGACACAAACUAGAGUCAUCAGAGAGGAAGGAGCCUCAGUGGAGGAAAUGCCUCCAUGAGAUCCUGCUGUAAAGCAUUUUCACAAUUAGUAAUCAAUUAGGUGGGGGGAAGCCCAGCCCAUUGUGGGUGGUGCCUUCCCUGGGUUGGUAGUCCUGGUUUCUCU